UACGAAGGGGGCUAGCGUUGUUCGGAAUUACUGGGCGUAAAGCGUGCGCAGGCGGUUGUGCAAGACAGAUGUGAAAUCCCCGGGCUCAACCUGGGAACUGCAUUUGUGACUGCACGGCUGGAGUGCGGCAGAGGGGGAUGGAAUUCCGCGUGUAGCAGUGAAAUGCGUAGAUAUGCGGAGGAACACCGAUGGCGAAGGCAAUCCCCUGGGCCUGCACUGACGCUCAUGCACGAAAGCGUGGGGAGCAAACAGG
rnacentral:rRNA from 1 species